rnacentral:rRNA from 1 species
CACGUAGGGGGUGAGCGUUGUCCGGAUUUAUUGGGCGUAAAGAGCUCGUAGGCGGCUCGGUAAGUCAGGUGUGAAAACUCUAGGCUCAACCUAGAGACGCCACCUGAUACUGCCGUGGCUAGAGUCCGGUAGGGGAGCAUGGAAUUCCUGGUGUAGCGGUGAAAUGCGCAGAUAUCAGGAGGAACACCAGUGGCGAAGGCGGUGCUCUGGGCCGGAACUGACGCUGAGGAGCGAAAGCGUGGGGAGCAAACAGG